rnacentral:rRNA from 1 species
CAGUCGAACGAUGAAAUUCUCUGCUUGCAGAGAAUGGAUUAGUGGCGAACGGGUGAGUAACACGUGGGUAACCUGCCCAUAAGAGGGGGAUAACAUUCGGAAACGGAUGCUAAUACCGCAUAUGUCUUUGAGACGCCUGUCUCUUAGAUGAAAGGUGGCUUCGGCUGCCGCUUAUGGAUGGACCCGCGGCGUAUUAGCUAGUUGGUAAGGUAAUGGCUUACCAAGGCUUUGAUACGUAGCCGACCUGAGAGGGUGAUCGGCCACACUGGGACUGAGACACGGCCCAGACUCCUACGGGAGGCAGCAGUAGGGAAUCUUCCACAAUGGGUGAAAACCUGAUGGAGCAAUACCGCGUGAGUGAAGAAGGUCUUCGGAUCGUAAAGCUCUGUUGUUAGAGAAGAAUAAGUCGGGUAGUAACUGCCCCGACCUUGACGGUAUCUAACCAGAAAGUCACGGCUAACUACGUGCCAGCAGCCGCGGUAAUACGUAGGUGACAAGCGUUGUCCGGAUUUAUUGGGCGUAAAGCGAGCGCAGGCGGUCUUUUAAGUCUGAUGUGAAAGCCCACGGCUCAACCGUGGAAGGUCAUUGGAAACUGGAAGACUUGAAUGCAGAAGAGGAAAGUGGAAUUCCAUGUGUAGCGGUGAAAUGCGUAGAUAUAUGGAGGAACACCAGUGGCGAAGGCGACUUUCUGGUCUGUAAUUGACGCUGAGGCUCGAAAGCGUGGGGAGCGAACAGGAUUAGAUACCCUGGUAGUCCACGCCGUAAACGAUGAGUGCUAAGUGUUGGAGGGUUUCCGCCCUUCAGUGCUGGAGCUAACGCAUUAAGCACUCCGCCUGGGGAGUACGGCCGCAAGGCUGAACUCAAAGGAAUU